rnacentral:rRNA from 1 species
GAUGAACGCUGACAGAAUGCUUAACACAUGCAAGUCGACUUGAAGCAACUUCGGUUGUGGAAAGUGGCGGACGGGUGAGUAACGCGUAAAGAACUUGCCCUUCAGUCUGGGACAACCAUUGGAAACGAUGGCUAAUACCGGAUAUUAUGGAACUCUCGCAUGGGAGGAUCAUGAAAGCUAUAUGCGCUGAAGGAGAGCUUUGCGUUCCAUUAGCUAGUUGGUGAGGUAACGGCUCACCAAGGCGACGAUGGAUAGCCGGCCUGAGAGGGUGAUCGGCCGCAAGGGGACUGAGACACGGCCCUUACUCCUACGGGAGGCAGCAGUGGGGAAUAUUGGACAAUGGACCAAAAGUCUGAUCCAGCAAUUCUGUGUGCACGAUGAAGGUUUUCGGAUCGUAAAGUGCUUUCAGUUGGGAAGAAGAAAGUGACGGUACCAACAGAAGAAGCGACGGCUAAAUACGUGCCAGCAGCCGCGGUAAUACGUAUGUCGCAAGCGUUAUCCGGAUUUAUUGGGCGUAAAGCGCGUCUAGGCGGGUUCAUAAGUCUGAUGUUAAAAUGCGGGGCUCAACUCCGUAUUGCGUUGGAAACUGUGAACCUAGAGUAUCAGAGAGGUGGGCGGAACUACAAGUGUAGAGGUGAAAUUCGUAGAUAUUUGUAGGAAUGCCGAUGGAGAAGUCAGCUCACUGGAUGAAUACUGACGCUAAAGCGCGAAAGCGUGGGUAGCAAACAGG